AGGUCCUAGAAGACAGAGGUAAGCAGUGCUCUCUCUCUCUCUCUCUCUCUCACACAAAAGCAAUAAAUAAGAUAACAAUAACAGUAAGAAAAGUGGGUGGCGUUUAUUUCUUCAUCAGCAACUGCUACAUGCUGUUGUCAUUACCUCUAACGAACCUGCACAUGUUUUACGUCCUCUUCCUCAGAAUUCCCUGCCUCCAGGGGGAUGCAGGCUGGUCCUCCACACGGAAACCCCUAGAAGCUGCUUAAGGCACUGACCGACGUCAGAAAGGGAAGUGAUUACAGGGAGAUGCUGAUUACAGAUGCCACUGGAAGAUUUUACCUACAAACCUAGAAAACCUUAAACAAACGUGGUGGUGAGGUAGACAGAGCGCAUGUGGACAGAAGCUGCAGUGGCUCCUGCUUGGGAGGUGCUUAGCGAUCCACUGCUGCUAACUAAAGCAAGCACAACUGCCAAGAAGGAGAAGCAGUAACUGGGGAGCACUAGGUAUGGACACAGCCGGAAAUAUGCUGAAGAGAUGGCCUACUGCCAGCAAAUGCCAGUAACUGAGAGGCAGAGGUUAGAAUACUUCCAUCUCUUUCUCUCUCUCCCUUUCCCUACCUCCCUCCCCUUCGUUAUUCCUUCAAAUCUUACUUAAAAAUAUCUUUUUUGGUCUCCAGGGCUGUUGCUGGGCUUGGUGCUACAAAUCCACUGCCAUUUUUCUCUCUCUUUCUUUCUUUUUUUGCCUCCAAGGUUACUCGGUGCCUGCACUACGAAGCCAUCGCUCCUGGAGGAUAUUUUUCCCUUUUUGUUGCUCUUGCUGUUGGAUAGGACAGAGAGAAAUGGAGAGAGGAGGGGAAGACAGAGAGGGGGAGAGAAAGACAGACACCUGCAGACCUGCUUCACCACCUGUGAAGCGACUCCCCUGCAGGUGGGGAGCCGGGACUCGAACCAGCAUCCUUGAACCUUGGCCUGAGAGUGGUGGGACUGCACACGAGAGGCCCAGCCCCCGUGUCGCACCCACAAGAGAAGCUGUGCUCCACAGAGGACUCCUAGCAGGCCCACUCCUCCCAGGCGGCAGGGAACAUCGCAGACGCCCCAUGCUCCCCUCCCGUGCACUCUUCCUUCCUA